UACCAGCUCUCCGAGUGGUAGGGAUGAUUAUUGGGCUUAAAGCGUCCGUAGCCGGCUUAGCAAGUUUCCUGUUAAACUCCGCGACUUAAUCGUUGAAUCGCGGGAAAUACUACUAGGCUAGGAGGCGGGAGAGGUCAACGGUACUUCUGGGGUAGGGGUGAAAUCCUAUAAUCCCGGGAGGACCACCAGUGGCGAAGGCUGUUGACUAGAACGCGCUCGACGGUGAGGGACGAAAGCUGGGGGAGCGAACCGGAUUAGAUACCGGGGUAGUCCCAGCUGUAAACGAUGCGGGCUAGGUGUUGGGAUGGCUACGUGCCAUUUCAGUGCCGCAGGGAAGCCAUUAAGCCCGCCGCCUGGGGAGUACGGCCGCAAGGUUGAAACUUAAAGGAAUUGGCGGGGGAGCACCACAAGGCGUGAAGCUUGCGGUUC
rnacentral:rRNA from 1 species